GACGAACGCUGGCGGCGUGCUUAACACAUGCAAGUCGAACGCUGAAGCGCAGCUUUUGUUGGGUGGAUGAGUGGCGAACGGGUGAGUAACACGUGAGUAACCUGCCUCCUUCUUUGGGAUAACGCCCGGAAACGGGUGCUAAUACUGGAUAUUCACUGGUCUUCGCAUGGGGGUUGGUGGGAAGGGUGUUUCUGGUGGGGGAUGGGAUCGCGGCCUAUCCGCUUGUUGGUGGGGUGAUGGCCUACCAAGGCUUUGGCGGGUAGCCGGCCAGGGCGGGUGACCGAUCACAGAGGGACUGAGAUCCGGCCCACUCCUACGGGAGGCAGCAGUGGGGAAUAUGGCACAAGGGGCGCAAGCCUGAUGCAGCGACGCCGCGUGAGGGAUGGGGGCCGUCGGGUUGUGAACCUCUUUCGCUCAUGGUCAAGCCGCAACAAUGGUUGUGGUGAGGGUAGUGGGUAAAGAAGCGCCGGCUAACUACGUG
rnacentral:rRNA from 1 species